GAUGAACGCUGGCGGCGUGCCUAAUACAUGCAAGUAGAACGCUGAAGGAAGGAGCUUGCUCUUUCCGGAUGAGUUGCGAACGGGUGAGUAACGCGUAGGUAACCUGCCUGGUAGCGGGGGAUAACUAUUGGAAACGAUAGCUAAUACCGCAUAACAGUAGAUGUUGCAUGACAACUAUUUGAAAGGGGCAAUUGCUCCACUACCAGAUGGACCUGCGUUGUAUUAGCUAGUUGGUGAGGUAACGGCUCACCAAGGCGACGAUACAUAGCCGACCUGAGAGGGUGAUCGGCCACACUGGGACUGAGACACGGCCCAGACUCCUACGGGGGGCAGCAGUAGGGAAUCUUCGGCAAUGGACGGAAGUCUGACCGAGCAACGCCGCGUGAGUGAAGAAGGUUUUCGGAUCGUAAAGCUCUGUUGUAAGAGAAGAACGAGUGUGAGAGUGGAAAGUUCACACUGUGACGGUAUCUUACCAGAAAGGGACGGCUAACUACGUG
rnacentral:rRNA from 1 species